UCCAGGGUAGCCUAGAGGACAUGGCAUAUGCCCGGUAAGCGGAACACUGUGGGUUCGAUUCCCAUCCCUGGAU
rnacentral:tRNA from 1 species